GACGAACGCUGGCGGCGUGCCUAAUACAUGCAAGUCGAGCGCAGGAAACUGACGGAACUCUUCGGAGGGAAGGCAGCGGAAUGAGCGGCGGACGGGUGAGUAACACGUAAGGAACCUGCCUCAAGGAUUGGGAUAACUCCGAGAAAUCGGAGCUAAUACCGGAUAGUUCAACGGACCGCAUGGUCCGCUGAUGAAAGGCGCUGCGGCGUUACCUUGAGAUGGCCUUGCGGUGCAUUAGCUAGUUGGUGGGGUAACGGCCCACCAAGGCGACGAUGCAUAGCCGACCUGAGAGGGUGAUCGGCCACACUGGGACUGAGACACGGCCCAGACUCCUACGGGAGGCAGCAGUAGGGAAUCUUCCACAAUGGACGAAAGUCUGAUGGAGCAACGCCGCGUGAGUGAUGAAGGUUUUCGGAUCGUAAAACUCUGUUGUAAGGGAAGAACACGUACGAGAGGAAAUGCUCGUACCUUGACGGUACCUUACGAGAAAGCCACGGCUAACUACGUGCCAGCCGCCGCGGUAAGAC
rnacentral:rRNA from 1 species